rnacentral:tRNA from 1 species
AAGUUUAGGUUAACUGACAAACCAAGAGCCUUCAAACCUCUAAAUAGGGAUCAGCCCUAAUUUCUG